UAGAGCCUAGCUCAGCACAGUGCUGGCCUCGUCCCCACACCAGCCAUUGUAACUCUAAUGUAUCCUCUUUCCAGAGCCACAGUCUUCUCACCUAGGCAGGAAUGUGACAACACUCGGCCUCUCGUGAAAACUUCUGGGUGCUUAUGGACCUGUCACACAAAAGGGAAUGAGUGUUGUUGAUAGUACUUGUAUCUCAACAAUUAUUUUAAUUAAACUUGCAUUUAAAAAGUCAGA
rnacentral:lncRNA from 1 species